GGAUCACGGUCUGUCAGCGCCGGGGCCGCCCCGCCGACCCUCGCCGGGAGCCGGGUACCCUGGGCACGGCGGCAGCACCCUCCGGCCGAGGGCAGCACCCGCACGGAGCCGAGAAUCCAGGGUGGGGUGAGGCCCAACAGUGGUACUGUCCCAGGCGAAGAAACGGGAGCAGGCAACUAAAGAACGAACAAAGAGAAUCGAUUUAUUUUUCUUUUCUUUUUUUAGUGUAUGGCUCAAAAACCAAGGUUUUGUAUAGUAAGUAAACUUAAAAAAGAGCUUGCUGACUCUGGUGUUUCUCUCCAGGCUCACUCUCUGUAAAGACAAGUGAAGGUGUCUUUCCAUACGAUAAACAAAGGCAUUUCAUACAGAUGCAAGGUGAAGCUUAGUUCAUGGACAUUUUGCUUCAUUCUUGUUCAUCCAGCUUAAAUCGAAUGCAGAGUUGGUGGCGCUGACGACUGUGAAAGAUUCCUGACAUUUACCAAUAUAAAGGCUGUGUUUAUAGAUGCCUGUGACUGUCAAACAUCAGCUGAAAUUUUCCAUCCAAAUGCUCUUUUCACACAGGGCCCACACAGCAUUAUUUUUGCCAGGACAAACACUCUUGGUGGAGAGUGGGAGAAAAUAGUCAGGAGAGCUGGGGAAAAUAGUCAUGUAACCUCGAUGUGAUUCUUGUGCUUAGGAAACCCCUGGUGUAGGCCUGCAUUUAAGCAGGCAAACAUAAUUUUGUAAGGCAUUUAUCUCAUUUCUAUGAAAGUCUGCUCAUACAGCUGUUAAAAGGCCAGUGGAGUGUUAUGGUUCAACAAAGCAAGGUGUUAACUGCAAUGAUAGGAGGUGGUCAGGCAAACGGGAUAAAAUCUUUUUGUCUUCUACAGCGUUCUAAGAGUUCAUUCAAUAGCUCAUUCAGUAGUUCAUUCACUAGUCCAGUAAGAGUCAGUGAGAGUCACCUGCUGAAUGGUUACCAAAGGAACUCAGUCAUGGUUUUGAGCCCUAUUUCUGCAGGCUUUUUAGUCGUUCAUAGCAGAGUUUCUACAGAUACAUUUGUUUGGCAGGUACGACUGCUGUCACAGUAAAACACUCUACAUGCUAUGGUAGGCAAGGCCCAAGAGUUUAGUUUAAACAAAGUAAUCUGUUUAAGCAGAUAAAAGACUUCUAGCUCUGUUGGCAGAAUACCUUAUAGUGGGCCAUGUACUGCAUUAGAUGGUCAGAGCAUGUACAGGAAAACAGUAAUCUCAUCUCUUACUUUAGACCUCCUAGUCUGUAGUCAUGAUUGUGGCUUUCUAUACUGAUUCAGAAUGCAUUUUAAACAGCAAAAGGGAAAAAUCUACCCUAUCAAAACGCCAGUUCUCCUAUCCCUAAUAUGAAUAAGUUAAGCACAAUUUAAAUGAGGUAUCUUAAAGAAUUUUGGGCACUGCCAGCAAUGAAACCAUGACCACUAUGCAAUGAAACCAUUGCAUAGUGUGCAUUAGUGAGAGUUGAAAUAAAAUCACAUAACUGCUAUUUACCAGAGCACGUACCCAACAAGGAAACAGCAACAAAGAUGGAAAGCAUUAGAAAGAACAGAUAAGAUCCAAAUAAAGGAAAACACAUGACCAAAGUAAGAAGAAAUGUGAUAAUCUUUGAAAUAAAGAACUGACUGCAUUUUUCAUAUGGAUAGAGGAAUUGGGUUGAGCAUUUGGAAGAAAAAUAUAUCAAUUUUAAUCAAUUUUUAAAACUCUGCAAACACUGACAUUCUCAGAAUGUAGAUCUUAAGAGCAAUGAUCAAUGACAAUUUUUCAGAAUUGCUUGUCUCCACAUGUGUAAUUUAUGUACAGUAAUGAAAAACUGUGUUUUAUAGUUUUUCAGGCUUUGCCCUGACAAAGGCACUACCAGAAGUGUAAUGAGUUGUACUGACCACUGCAAAUUUUUUAGUUCAAACUCAAGCUCUGCUUCAGCACCCAGAUUAGCGUUAUGUUGAUGCAUUUAUCCAUGGGUCCAAUUUUUUCAUGCACUGAACUGGGAAUUGGGUUGUUGCCUGUGUGGACUUGAAGGAAAGAAGUGUGUCCCAUUGCAACAGAACUUUAUAGCCCCAGUUACUUCUAAUUCAGUUGACCUGGUGACCUGGAGUGUCCUCUCUACAAGAUGGCAGAAAACACUAAUGGAUUUUCUUGAAGGUAGAUUAUGGAAGCCCAGCCCAGUUCUGAUUUGAUGCCAACACACAGGAAAUUGCUGUGCUCAUGACAUUUCCUUUCUGUUAAGGAAAAGUAUUUUGUAUUGGUUUACAGAUGUUGCAGAGGAAUUGAACCAGUGCCAUUAAUUAAACAAGUUUUUGCUCACAAUUCAUCACUAGUAUAAUAACUUGAGUUUUAGAUGGAAAUAUAUUUUUACAGUUGUUUCAUGCAAUAUGUGUUCCAGAUAGAAAUGUAGUUCUCAAAAUUAAUUCAGCCAUUCCCCAUGGUGCCAUGUUUUGAAGUUCAAAUUCUCAUCCUGCCAAUGAGCUGGAUACUCCAGUUCCUCUUAUAGUUCAGUUACCAUAUGAAGAACAGCAUGCACUUAUUCUAAGUUGUUAACCUGAGCUAUUGAAACAAAAAAAUGAUGUAAAAAUAAGAUUUUAAUUUAUUUAAACCACUCAAAAAAAUACAAUUCAGUUAAUAUAUUGUUUUGCAGGUAAGAACAAAACCACUUUUAAACCACAGUGUUUCCAAAUGAGGUAUUUUCUGCUUCUUCUUCUUCUUAAA